UAUUGAUGUGGGUCUCUUGUGAAGCUGCUAUCACAGGAUGGCUGGGGCUGGAACAACCAAGACGGUGCCACCUCUGUGUCUGGUGUUUGCAGGAAUGGCUGGGACAGCUCGAUGGGUCUUUUCAAUAUUCUGUCACAAGAUCACCAGUGAAUCUCUGCGGAACAAAAGAUUUCCUUCGCUUCUCGUCUCAGUGCAAGGUACUGAAAAGAUGCUCAGCUGUUGAAAGGUCUUGCGUUAUGAAACUGACCGCUUCUGGUCACUCUGCUCUCUGGCCUCCUCCCCUACCUGCCUCAGUGACGAAGGCAACGAAUUCCCUGUUUCACUCUCUUUGUAACCCCAU
rnacentral:lncRNA from 1 species